rnacentral:rRNA from 1 species
GUGAAAUUGUUGAAAGGGAAACGAUCGAAGUCAGUCAUGCUAGUGAAAAUUCAGUUUGGCGGGUCUCUGGUCUUUCGAUAGAGGCAGGGUUAAAGCGUUUCUUUUUUCGGACCAGGAUCUGUCAGAUGCACUUUUUCUUUGGCAGGUCAGCGUCGAUUUCGGGGGUUGUAAAAUACUUGGGGAAAAGUAGCUUUGGUUUCGGGAGAGUGUUAUAGACCUUGGGGGAUGCAGCCCGCGGGAUCGAGGAUUGCAGCAAAUGCCUUUGGCUUGUCGCCUGAUCUCUGGAUGUUACCUCGCUUGUAACAACAUUCUUGCUGCCGGUGAGUAUUAAUGCCCAUCAGGUUAGAGCGAUCAAAAAUUUCAUAAGGAUGCUGACGUAAUGGCUUUAAACGAC